rnacentral:lncRNA from 1 species
UCCGGGUCGCGGGGAGAAUGUGCCCGGCUCUCCACACAGCGCUUCUCAAAUCCACUAAAAUCAACACAAUAAUUGAAAUAUUUUCAAGCUGAUUACACCGCAGCCCGAGGCUAGCCUGGUUGCUAAGGGUGAGCUCCGCGGUUGCUAGGGGGAGUAAAUCAUCUUGCAUUAUUUGAUUUUUGUUAUAGAUAUGAAACCGCUACUCCCGCGAUUAAAUGUCUCUCAGCCUAACACCUAUGGGACCUGGGGAGAGAGAAGAGAAAGGCACCAACCUUGACCCUGUCAAAUAAAUAUCUCUAACUUUUCCUGUC